UUGAAGGAUGAUACGCACUGGGCUCUGAGCAGUAUAAACUGCACUUUUGAUGGAAUUGCGCAGCCUAGAAAGCUUUAUCUGACUA
rfam:Phaseolus vulgaris cultivar G19833 chromosome 4, whole genome shotgun sequence.